rnacentral:rRNA from 1 species
UACAGAGGGUGCGAGCGUUAAUCGGAUUUACUGGGCGUAAAGCGUGCGUAGGCGGUUUGUUAAGUCGGAUGUGAAAGCCCUGGGCUCAACCUGGGAACGGCAUUCGAUACUGGCAGGCUAGAGUACGGUAGAGGGUGGCGGAAUUCCGGGUGUAGCGGUGAAAUGCGUAGAUAUCCGGAGGAACACCGAUGGCGAAGGCAACCACCUGGGCCUGUACUGACGCUGAGGCACGAAAGCGUGGGGAGCAAACAGG